GGGGCUGACUGGAUUUGACAGCAGGGAAGCGGGAUUGUAAGCAUGCCGAGCGUUGUGAACAGGUCUCGUAAAACGCUAAUUCACAAAGCCAAUAAAUGGCGACAAUUAUAAUUACGCACUGGCUGCUUAAUUUUAGAAAUUAAGCACUGGUUGUCUCCCGGGAAACCACUCCCGACGGUGUUCCGGAUGAGGCAUCGAAAAUGACGGGAUAGUCUUUGCAAGGUCCCGGUGCAGGGAUGAAAUUUAGGGAAUAAGGUUAGGACAGGUUCGUUCCGGACCAAUCCUCUCCCGACAAAAUAACCGGAAAUAAGCAUGUAGAAAGCAGUCUUACUGCCUGUUUGGACGAGGGUUCGAUCCCCUCCAGCUCCACCG
rnacentral:tmRNA from 1 species